UCUUUUCUUUUCCUUUUUGUUUUUAUGUUUCUAUGAUCCUGGGGAUUGGAGCUAGGCCCUUGAGCAUGCUGGACAAAUGCUCUACCACAGAAUUCUUACAUAUUAACCCUCAAUCUCCCCGGCCCUUAGAAUCAUCCCCAAAUGAAUAUCACAUCCCUCUCUCUCAGGCCUCUCUCUGCGUCUCUGAGAUUGGAGACCUGCACAUCCGUGUCACCUGCCUCCCAAUCACAGCCUGCAUUUUAACAAGCCCCCCCUCCCUGCCGCCCCCAGAAGCUGUGCUCAUUACGCCCAAGGCAUGCUGCUGCGAGCAUUUGGCUCUCACACCUGCUGCACACCAGAGCCUCCCAGGGACCUGGAACGGAUGCCUGCUUCCCUCUGCCAGAAAUUCUCAGCUAAUUGGCCUGUGGUGGGGACUCGUUAGCCUUCCAGGUGAUCCCAACAUGCAGCAGAGUCGGCGAAUCACCAACUGAGAGGAAACCGGAGAAGUCAAACAAAAGGACGGUCAUGCCGAGCAUGCAUGACACCUCACCUCUUCCUGGAUUAUACUUGAGAUGUUGGACUCAUCACACGGACCACUAGAUGCUUGGCUUUGUAGCCUGAUCAAAUGAAGAGUCGCUGAUGUCAAGUUGCUGACAUGGGGAGUCAAACCACAAAUAAAGGCUGCUGAUAAGUUUGGA